rnacentral:rRNA from 1 species
CAGUCGCCGCGGUAAUACGUAGGUGGCAAGCGUUGUCCGGAAUUAUUGGGCGUAAAGGGCUCGCAGGCGGUUCUUAAGUCUGAUGUGAAAGCCCCCGGCUCAACCGGGGAGGGUCAUUGGAAACUGGGAAACUUGAGUGCAGAAGAGGAGAGUGGAAUUCCACGUGUAGCGGUGAAAUGCGUAGAGAUGUGGAGGAACACCAGUGGCGAAGGCGACUCUCUGGUCUGUAACUGACGCUGAGGAGCGAAAGCGUGGGGAGCGAACAGGAUUAGAUACCCCAGUAGUCCCUGUCUCUUAUACA